rnacentral:rRNA from 1 species
UGUUCGGAUUGCGCCGACGAAGGUGGUUCGCCGCCUUCGACGUCGUGAGAAGUUCACUGAACCUUAUCAUUUAGAGGAAGGAGAAGUCGUAACAAGGUUACCGUAGGUGAACCUGCGGUAGGAUCAUUG